AGUGAACGCUGGCGGUAGGCCUAACACAUGCAAGUCGAGCGAGAGCACAGUAGCAACUUGCUCUUACGGGAGUCACGUGGCGGACGGGGGAGUAAUACGUCGGAAUCUACUUUUUAGUGGGGGAUAACGUCGGGAAACUUACGCUAGUACAGCAUACGACCUACGGGUGAAAGCAGGGGAUCUUCGGACCUUGCGCGAUUGAAUGAGCCGAUGUCGGCUUAGCUAGUUGGCGGGGUAAAGGCACACCACGGCGACGAUGCGUAGCUGGUCUGAGAGGAUCAACCGCUAGCCUGUAAGUGAGACUGGGCCCAGACUCCGACAGGAGGCAACAGUGGGGAAUAUUGCACGAGGGGCGCAAGCCUGAUCUAGCCAUAUCGCGUGAGUGCAGAAGGCCUUAUGGUUGUAGAGUGAUUUUGUUCUGAAAGAAGAGAAGCAGUUUAAUAUCGCGCUGUUCUGACGGUACCCAAAGAAUAAGCCCCGGCUAACUUCGUG
rnacentral:rRNA from 1 species